CCUACGGGGGGCAGCAGUAGGGAAUCUUCCGCAAUGGACGAAAGUCUGACGGAGCAACGCCGCGUGAGGGAAGAAGGCCUUCGGGUCGUAAAGCUCUGUUGUUCGGGAAGAACAAGUACGGGCGGAAAUGACCGGACCUUGACGGUACCUUAAGAGUAAGCCACGGCUAACUACGUGCCAGCAGCCGCGGUAAUACGUAGGUGGCAAGCGUUGACCGGAAUUAUUGGGCGUAAAGCGUGCGCAGGCGGUCUUAUAAGUCUGAUGUGAAAUCUUGGGGCUCAACCGCGAGCGUGCAUUGGAAACUGGAUAGCUAGAGUGCGGAAGAGGAAGACGGAAUUCCGCGUGUAGCGGUGAAAUGCGUAGAUAUGCGGAGGAACACCAGUGGCGAAGGCGAUUUCCUGGACUGUAACUGACGCUGAGGCGCGAAAGCGUGGGGAGCAAACAGGAUUAGAUACCCCAGUAGUC
rnacentral:rRNA from 1 species